UUUUUAUAAGGAUAACUACGGAAAAGCUGUAGCUAAUAUUUGCUAUAGUACUCUUGAUUAACUUCUUGGGUGCGUAUUUGUCAAGUCUUUUAAGAAGAAAGUUUUAAUAGCUUUAUGAAUAAUAACAACGAAGUGUGAGACAUAAACGAAUUCGUCCAUUUUUUAGUGUGUAUCAAUCGAGUUUCUGACCUAUCAGCUUUUGAUGUUAGGGUAUUGGCUUAACAUGGCUAUAACGGGUAACCUGGAAUUAGAGUUCGAAACGGGAGAGGGAGCCUGAUAAAUAGUUAUCACAUCUAAGGAAGGCAGCAGACGCGUAAAUUACCCAAUUGUAAACAAGAGAGCUAGUGACAAGAAAUAACAAUACUAGGCCAAUCUGCUUUGUAAUUAGAAUGCUGGGAAUUUAAAACCUUCCCAAAAUUCAAUUGGAGGGCAAGUCUGGUGCCAGCAGUCUCGGUAAUUCGAGCUCCACUAGCGUAWGUUAAAAUUGUUGCAGUUAAAACGCUCGUAGUUGAAUUUCAAAGAAUCGAUAUUUUAAGUAACGCUUUGUAGCUUAAUCCACAUAACUGAUACUACGUAUCGAAUUUGUGCGCAUUUUGCUACUUAUGUGUUCUUUUAAUUAAAAUGAUUCUUUUUAAGAUCUUUCUGUUUUGUUUCGGCAUCUUAGGAGAUCUUGUUACUUUGAGUAAAUUAGAGUGUUCAAAGCAAACAAAUUAUAGCAUCUUUAUGUGUUUGAAUACUACAGCAUGGAAUAACAAAAUUGAACAAGUCAGAAUUUUGUUCUUUUUUCUUAUUUUGGCUUAGUUACGAUUAAUAGGAGUAGCUUGGGGGCAUUUUUAUUCAGAUGUCAGAGGUGAAAUUCUUAGAUUUUCUGGAGACAAACAGCUGCGAAAGCAUUUGCCUAAAAUACUUCCAUUAAUCAAGAACGAAAGUUAAGGGAGUGAAGACGAUCGGAUACCGUCGUAAUCUUAACCAUAAACUAUGCCGACUAGGCUUUGGAUGAAAGAUUUUAAAGUAAGAGCUUUUUCUCUGAGGAGUUAAAAAUCUUAGAUUGCUUCCUUCAGUGCCUUAUGAGAAAUCAAAGUCUUUGGGUUCUGGGGCGAGUAUUCGCGCAAGCGAGAAAGUUAAAAGAAUUGACGGAAGGGCACCACCAGGCGUGGAGCUUGCGGCUUAAUUUGACUCAACACGGGAAAACUCACUAGUUUAAGACAAGAGUAGGAUUGACAGAUUAAUAGCUCUUUCUUGAUUUCUUGGAUGGUGAUGCAUGGCCGUUUUUAGUUCGUGAAUAUGAUUUGUCUGGUUAAUUCCGAUAACGAACGAGAUCUUAACCUGCUAAUUAGCGGCAAAUACGAUAUAUUCUUAUGUGGAAUUGAAUAUAGUUGAUUUGCUCAUUUUGAAGAAAAUAUUGGGAUACGUAAAUGUAUCCCUUUCCCUUUUCUACUUAAUUUGCUUAUCAUACUAUUUCUUUUUCGCGUAAGAAUGUAUUUGCUUGAUUGUAAAGCUUCUUAGAGGCACCUUGUGU
rnacentral:rRNA from 1 species